CAAAUCCUUGGGCGAGAGCCCGAGCAGAGCGGCCGUUGGUGCAGCUAUUGGUGGUAGUAGCAAAUAUUCAAAUAAGAACUUUGAAGUACGAAGAUGGGUAAGAUUCCAUGUGAACGGCACUUGCACAAGGGUUAGUCGAUCCUAAGGGUCGGGAGAACCCCGACAUAUAGCGCAUUUCAUGAGUACUUCGAAAGGGAAUCAGGUUAAAAUUCCUAGACUGGGAUAUGGCAGUCAACGGCAACGUUAGGAUGUCCGGAGAUGUCGGCGGGAGCCUCGGGAAGAGUUAUCUUUUCUGUUUAACAGCCUGCUCACCCUGGAAUCGGCUCGGCCAGAGGUAGGGUCCAGCGGCUAGAAGAGCACCGCACGUCGCGUGGUGUCUGGUGCACUAUCGGUGGCCCUUGAAAUUCUAGAGGACCAAAUGCCGUCCACGCCCGAUCGUACUCAUAACCACAUUAGGUCUCUAAUGGGAACAACCUCUGGUCGAUGGAACAAUAUAGGCAAGGAAAGUCGGCAAAAUGGUUCUGUAACUUCUGGAAAAGGAUUGGAACUGAGGGCUGGGCUUGAGAGUCCCAGUCCUGAACCCGUCGGCUGUCGGUGGACUACUCGAGCUGAUCCCGCAGCGAGAGCGGGUCACCACAUGCCGGUCGAGGGAUGGACUGGGAAUAGUUCCUUCGGGGGCCUUCCCCGUGCAUCGAACAGCCAACUUAGACCUUGUAUGGACAAGGGGAAUCCAACUGUUUAAUUAAAACAAAAAAUUGCGAUGGUCCCAACGGAUGUUCACACAUUGUGAUUUCUGCCCAGUGCUUUGGAUGUCAAAGUGAAUAAAUUCAACCAAGCAUGGGUAAAUGGCGGGAGUAACUAUGACUCUCUUAAGGUAGCCAAAUGACUCGUCAUCUAAUUAGUGACGUGCAUUAAUGGAUUAACGUGAUUCCCACUAUCCCUAUCUAUUAUCCAGCGAAACCACAGCCCAGGGAACGGGCUUGGAAGAUUCAAUGGGGAAAGAAGACCCUCUUGAGCAUGACUCUACUUCGACUUUGUGAAAUGACUUGAGAGGUGUAGUAUAAGUGGGAGCCGAAAGCCGAGAGUGAAAUACCACUACUUCUAACAUUAUUUUACUUAUUUCGUGAAUUGGAAGCAGGGCACUGCCCCUCUUUUUAGACCCAAGGCUCGCUCUUUGGGCUGAUCCAGGUGGAAGACAUUGUCAGGUGGGGAGUUUGGCUGGGGCAGCACAUCUUUUAAAAGAUAACACAGGUGUCCUAAGAUGAGCUCAAAGAGAAAAAAAAUAUCGUGUGGAACAGAAGGGUAAAAGCUCGUUUGAUUCUGAUUUCUAGUACGAAUACGAACCAUGAAAGCGUGGCCUAACGAUCCUUUAGACCUUCGGAAUUUGAAGCUAGAGGUGUCAAAAAAGUGUUACCACAUGGAUAACUGGCCUAUUUCAGCCAAGCGUUCAUAGCGACGUUGCUUGUUCAUCCUUUGAUGUCGGCUCGUCCUAUCAUUGUGAAGCAGAAUUCACCAAGUGUUGGAAUGUUCAUCAACAAUUAGAGAACAUGAGCUGGGUUUAGACCAUCGUGAGACAAGUUAGUUUUACCCUACUUGUGACAGUGUCGCAGUAGUAAUUCAACCUAGUACGAGAGGAAACGUUAAUUCACAUAAUUUGCAAUCGCACUUGGUUGAAAAGACAGUGGUGCAAAGCUACCGUGUCGUAGAUUAUGACUGAACGCCUCUAAUUCAGAAUUCGGGCUAGAAGCGACGCAUGCGCCCGUUGU
rnacentral:rRNA from 1 species